rnacentral:lncRNA from 1 species
AAAAAGGAUUGCUUUCUUGCUGGUAUGUACAAGGAGAAGGAUUUCAUGUGGGCAUUUAAAGGUUUCAAACAAAAUUGUUCUUGAUAGGCCCACACAACAAGCACAGUGAAAUGAAAGAUAUCACAAGCAGUUUAAUUCCAACCCUGGGGAAACAAGAUGAAGGAAAGUUUUGCUUUUGUUGUAUUUUAGUUCCAGAGAGCCUAACAUCUGAAUGUGGGCACAUGGAAAUGAAGCAAUGUGCUUAACUAGUUAAGUCAGCUGAAGGGCAACCCCUUUCUACUCAGGGCAAUUAGCGGCGGCAAUUUAGGAGGUAAAAGUACUUGUAAAGUGUUCUGCAUGUGUAAAGCAAGAUAGAUCACUAUUUACACAACAGCAGUCGGGCCCCAUUUCUCUUUCUACCUUUAAGCUAAGUGUCUGUGGGAUCAAUUUGGGCAUUUUCUGUAGACCACUUGGUUAUUAUCUUUGUAUUCUAGGAUGCUAGAAUAUCCUUGGGAGUGAAAGUCAAACUUUAAAGCCUACUUUUUGUGUACCCUAAAUGGUAAAUUACAAACUCAGGAUAUUCGAUAGGGGCUCCCUUAAAAAAAUCUUUGAAGAUAAGUGGGAAGUUGGAAAAGGUUUUAAACCUAAACAAAGAGCAGCAAUGACUGAUCAUUUAAGAAGCAAACCACAAUGUAUCUUUCUGUUGUUUUAUUAAAAGACAAAUUUUGACUGAAAUAUCCUUUAAGCUUAAGCAAUUUUCAAAUUGAGUAAGGGUAAAAAGCCUCCUCCCAGAUACAAUAAAUGGAAAUGUUUUCAAGUAUGGUGACACACUGCUUAGUAAGCCUCUGAGGCUUUAACAAAAGCACUCAGAAGUAAGUCCAUCAUAGAGGGUGAGAUGUCUUUUGUCUUAGAUAACGCUGUGAAAACCUCGAGAAAAGUCUAGAAAAAUGAGUUAAAUUCACCAAAAUUGGUAAACAUUGGUAACUUUUGCUUCAAAGAUUGUAAAUAAACAGAUACUCCUUUCAUUGGGCUUCCAAGCAAUGUACAACAAAGCAAUUACUGACAACAUCAUUUGACAACAACUAUUCUCCUUAGGUUUUAGCUCUUACAGUCUACAGGGUUCCCAAAACUUCUGCACAUUGUGCUUUUCAUAGCAGAAUUUUAAUUAAAGAUCAUAGCUAUUUUCUAAAUGAAUAUCCUUUUAUUGAAUUUUCCCAAUUAAAAAUGAAAUUCAAUUUUACAUCUAUAAUUAGAAAUGACACACACACAAUGGGACUGUACAAAUUUAGGUCAAAAUAAAAAUAUAUGUAUUUUGUGGCUUCAUAAAACAUUUACUAAAUCUUUAAAGAAAGCAGAAGUAACAGCAAUAUAUGUAAAAGUAAUGAUUUAAUGGCUAUGAGCAAGACAAAGCAAUAGAAUUGUGCUUCUUUUGCAGACUGUAGACCAUGAAAUGCUUAGCUACAGGGUCCAUACAAACAUGAAACGAUUCAUAUGGAAGAAACGUCCUCACAGAUAACUGGUGGCUGAUAAACACACGCUAAGUUCGACCAAAGCAAACUGAGACUUGGUAGGGUCAUUCAUAUUUUAAACUCAAC